UCCAGGGUAGCCUAGUGGACAUGGCAUCUGCCCGGUAAGCGGAACACUGUGGGUUCGAUUACCAUCCCUGGAC
rnacentral:tRNA from 1 species